rnacentral:rRNA from 1 species
UACAGAGGUCUCAAGCGUUGUCCGGAAUCAUUGGGCGUAAAGCGCGUGUAGGCGGUCCGGUAAGUCCGCUGUGAAAGUCGGGGGCUCAACCCUCGAAUGCCGGUGGAUACUGUCGGGCUAGAGUGCGGAAGAGGCGAGUGGAAUUCCUGGUGUAGCGGUGAAAUGCGCAGAUAUCAGGAAGAACACCCGUGGCGAAGGCGGCUCUCUGGGACGGUACUGACGCUGAGACGCGAAAGCGUGGGGAGCGAACAGG